UUGGACGCUGGCGGCAUGCCUUACACAUGCAAGUCGAGCGGCAGCGCGGGGGCAACCCUGGCGGCGAGCGGCGAACGGGUGAGUAAUACAUCGGAACGUGUCCAGUUGUGGGGGAUAACCAGUCGAAAGAUUGACUAAUACCGCAUACGAUCCACGGAUGAAAGCGGGGGACCGCAGGGCCUCGCGCUAUUGGAGCGGCCGAUGUCGGCUUAGCUCGUUGGCGGGGUAACGGCCCACCAAGGCGACGAUCCGUAGCUGGUCUGAGAGGACGACCAGCCACACUGGAACUGAGACACGGUCCAGACUCCUACGGGAGGCAGCAGUGGGGAAUUUUGGACAAUGGGCGCAAGCCUGAUCCAGCCAGGCCGCGUGAGUGAAGAAGGCCGUCGGGUUGUAAAGCUCGUUCGGCGGGGACGAAACGGUCCGUGACAACACCACGGACUAAUGACGGUACUCGCAGAAGAAGCACCGGCUAACUACGU
rnacentral:rRNA from 1 species